AGACAAACACCAAAACUCGUGGAAUUCUGUCAGAUAAAACCCUAAGUCUGGAUGUUGAUUUCAUUUGGAUCCAUUUCUUUGUUUAUUUAAUAAUUAAAUUUGAUACUUAAGGACCGUCAACAAUAAUCACCUGACAUAUCUGACUUGUCCUGUAAUACCCGAUUUUAAGGAUAAAACCAGAUAUGCAUCAUAUGUGAGUCUUCGAAGUCAAAUCUCACAUAAAGUUAUAAAUAAGAGGUAAUAUCAAAAGACAAUGCAUAAAUAUAUGACGCACUCAGUAUAAAAGAUAUAACCUUUGAUAGCAAACAGCGGAUAGACAACUCCAAACUUCG
rnacentral:lncRNA from 1 species